rnacentral:rRNA from 1 species
UACGUAGGGUGCGAGCGUUGUCCGGAUUUAUUGGGCGUAAAGGGCUCGUAGGCGGCCUGUCGCGUCGGGAGUGAAAGCCCACUGCUUAACGGUGGGUCUGCUUCCGGUACGGGCGGGCUGGAGUAUGGCAGGGGAGACUGGAAUUCCUGGUGUAGCGGUGGAAUGCGCAGAUAUCAGGAGGAACACCGGUGGCGAAGGCGGGUCUCUGGGCCAUUACUGACGCUGAGGAGAGAAAGCGUGGGGAGCGAACAGG